AGCCCCAGGAGGAAGCGGGGACUGUUAGCAGCAUAAGAUUGAGGAGUUGGAAGAGACCUUUAGAACAGCUGGUCCUUAUGCCAACUGGGUGCCCGCACUAAGUUCGGCAUCAAUAUGGUGACCUCCUGGGAGCAGGGGGACACCAAGUUGCCUAAGGAUGGCUGAACUGGCCCAAGUCAGAAAGGGAGUGGGUCAGAACUCCCG
rnacentral:sRNA from 1 species